UACGGAGGUCUCAAGCGUUGUUCGGAUUCAUUGGGCGUAAAGGGUGCGUAGGCGGCGCGGUAAGUCGGGUGUGAAAUCUCGGAGCUUAACUCCGAAACUGCAUUCGAUACUGCCGUGCUUGAGGACUGGAGGGGAGACUGGAAUUUACGGUGUAGCGGUGAAAUGCGUAGAGAUCAUGAGGAAGACCAGUGGCGAAGGCGGGUCUCUGGACAGUUCCUGACACUGAGGCACGAAGGCCAGGGGAGCAAACGGG
rnacentral:rRNA from 1 species